rnacentral:hammerhead_ribozyme from 1 species
AUCCAGCUGACGACUUCAAAAUAGAACGAAACGCACGUCUUGGAU